UGCAGAGAUCAUGGAGGAAGGAUUCCAUAGAAUGAAAAAUCUUGAGAUGAAAAGAACAAUUAUUAUUUGCGCAGCCAUCCUAGUAUUCUUCAUUAUAGCUCUCAUUAUCAUCAUUUGUACCACUAGGAAAAAAGGAGAGAAAGAUGAAGCUGCAGCAAUAGAGGAAGGGAGAAUACUGAAGAAAAAUAAGAUUAAACCUGCAGCACCAAAGUAAAACAGACCCUGGAAUCAAGACCUCUCCAGGGUUCCUGUUGGCUACUCUACCAAUGACUGCACUACUUCCGUCCACCUAACGUCACAUGUUCCAGCAGUCUGUUAAUGCUCUUAGUAUAAUGUUGAUCCAGGGCCUAGUCCGACUGCCAUUUUGGAGUCAGGAAGGAAUUUUUCCCCUUUAGCUUAAGAGGGGUUUUUUCGCCUUUCUCUGGGUCAACUAGAAGAUAAUCUAUCAAUUCUAAAUAAAAUUAC